rnacentral:misc_RNA from 2 species
GUAACAAGGUCUCCGUAGGUGAACCUGCGGAGGGAUCAUUACACAAAUAUGAAGGCGGGCUGGAACCUCUCGGGGUUACAGCCUUGCUGAAUUAUUCACCCUUGUCUUUUGCGUACUUCUUGUUUCCUUGGUGGGUUCGCCCACCACUAGGACAAACAUAAACCUUUUGUAAUUGCAAUCAGCGUCAGUAACAAAUUAAUAAUUACAACUUUCAACAACGGAUCUCUUGGUUCUGGCAUCGAUGAAGAACGCAGCGAAAUGCGAUAAGUAGUGUGAAUUGCAGAAUUCAGUGAAUCAUCGAAUCUUUGAACGCACAUUGCGCCCUUUGGUAUUCCAAAGGGCAUGCCUGUUCGAGCGUCAUUUGUACCCUCAAGCUUUGCUUGGUGUUGGGCGUCUUGUCUCUAGCUUUGCUGGAGACUCGCCUUAAAGUAAUUGGCAGCCGGCCUACUGGUUUCGGAGCGCAGCACAAGUCGCACUCUCUAUCAGCAAAGGUCUAGCAUCCAUUAAGCCUUUUUUCAACUUUUGACCUCGGAUCAGGUAGGGAUACCCGCUGAACUUAAGCAUAUCA